UAGCCCUAGCCGCUUUCCUCAUUCAAUUUCGCUGAGAAUCCUUUCCGAAAUCAUCAACCAAAGUUUGUCAAAAAUCUUCGAUCCAAAUCCAGUUCCGAAACGUUCCAGUCGAAGAAGACUCACGUACCUACAAGUCCCAAUUUUCGUUUCGUAAAACGCCGUUCGGAGGUCGAAAUCAAUUCCGUUUGUUUCCCGUGAAAGUAGACUCACGUAUCUAUGUUUCUACACUUUUCGUUCGUCAAACG